CAUCUAAGUGUUAUUUAUAUAAAUAUAUUGUCAAUAAUGUAUGUUUACAGAAUUAUCUAACUAAACAUAUGAAUUUUAUAGUGUAUUUAACUCGGCUUAGAUUGUCUUCACAUAAUUUGUUUGUUGAAGUAGGCCGUUAUCAUGGAGAAAAUAGGUUUUAUAGAAAGUGUACUCUGUAUACUUUGAAUAUCACUGAAGAUGAAUUUCAUUUUGUUUUACAAUGUGAAUGCUAUAGAGACUUAAGGAGACAGUUUAUUAAACCUUAUUAAUAUAGACGUCCAUCGUCGUUAACAUUAGUGCAACUUCUCAGCACUGAAAAUGUAAAAGAUUUGCGUAAUUUGUGUAAAUUCUUGUUUAAUGCACUUAAUCAUAGGACCGAACUGUUAUUGGUCAAUACUUGAUAUUUAUUUGCUUCUCUGAGGUAUUAUGUCAUGUUGUGUUAUAAAAAAAUGUAUUUGUAUUUAUUGCACUGAUAAGCAUAAUGUGCUUAAAGUAAUAAAGAAUUAAAUUGGUUUCUGGACAAUAUUCUUAGUUGAAGUGAAUGGAUCUCUAUGAAUUUUUUCAAGGAGGUUCAAUACCAUGAAAGGAAGGUUGGGAUUGAUUUUAAGGGUUAUGGUACCAACAGUUUAGGAAAAAGGGACCAAAAAAACAAGUUUUUUUGUAGAUUCUGGUCAAUACGUAUACAGUGUGUGUAAAUGUAUGGAUCUCUCUUAAAGGUAAGGCUGGGAUUGAAUUUUGGGGUAAUUGCUUCAAACAUGCAUGAAUCAGGGGCAAAAAAGGGUAAAAAACAAGCAUUUUUCUAGUUUCCAGGCAACUUGUGUUUAAGUGUAUGGAUCUCUCUAAAGUUGUACUACAAGGUUCCGUACUACAGAAGGAAGGCUGGGGUAGUUUUGGGGCAAUUAAUACAAGGGGGAAUGUUCAAAAAGUUUAGGGGGAUUUUUUCCCCAUUUUGUUUAGGUGUUCAUAUUUUUUUUCAAAUUUCAAAUUUUCAAAGAAAUCUUCAUUUAUUCUUUAUUUUUAAGACCUUUUACCACAUUUAUUUUGUCUCAGAAACCUACAUUAUGUCAAAAAUUUGAUCACAAUCCAAAUUCAGCGGACAGUAUCAAACUUUAAUAUUGUGUUCAACGUUGCCCCAACUGUUAAGGGUUUGACCUCUGCGGUCGUAUCAGGCUGUGCUCAGCGAGUCAAUUUAUUACAAAUUUCAUUUAUCCUGAUUCAAAUGUAUCACCAUACCGCCGACGUCAAUAUAGAUUAUUCAUUAUUUUAUUAUGGAGACGGAACGACAGGAUACCUGCAAAUUCAAGACAACCCUGAGUGGCCGGUUUUAAGAAUAAGAUAAGUAACUCUUGUAUCGUACAUUUUGGGUUGUAAGCUCCCCGUGAAAGAUAGAGAUAUCAUGGUCCAAGAAAGAGUAGUGUUCAUUGUUGAUAUUAGCUUUGUUUUAAGUAAGUAAGAUACAUCUCUUUAGUGUGCAUACUACACUCGUCAUUAUUGAGAGCCAAUAUAUAUUCC
rnacentral:lncRNA from 1 species